GCGUGCGACUCUCCAAUCGUCGUAGAGCGACGUGACGCAAAUGCUCAGGGAAACUUGCGGAGCUUAGAAAAAAGCAAGGAUUUUUUCGUUGCGCUUCCAAAAUGAAGGUUUUAAGGAAGGCGGGAUUUGGAGGAAGAGUGGAUCGGAAAGGCGGGGUCAUAACGUUGAAUGGGAACGGUUCGGUUUUCAAGAAAAAAAACUGAACAACCAUUUGUCUGAGAUGUUGUGAAGUCUCCUGCCUUCAGUAGUCUAAAAGACCUCCACACUCUCUUCAGUCCUUUGUUGCUGCUUUUGUGUUGGAUGCAUCAAGGCACUUCUGAGUUGAAAGGAUUAGCUGGUGACAUCAGCGUAGUCCAGGAGAUGACUAAGUGGAGGCUCCUUUCAUAUCCCUAUUAAUGUGCCAGCCCAAGUGGUACUUAUCUACUUGUGACUGCUCACUUUUGAACUGCUUGGUCAGCAGAAGCUAAAUGACAAGCCCUUGCCCCGUCAUGCAGCAGCACUCAGAUUAUUGAACACUAGUUUGCUGAUUGUUAACCCAGAGUUCUAACCAUGUGACUCACCACAUUCUCCUCAACCCUAUGAUUCUAUGAGUCUAUGCUUCUAUGACAUGUCCUCCAAGAAUUUUUCUAACCCCCCCCCCUAAAAAGCCAUAUUAGAGGCCACUGCCAUGUCUUGUCCAUGGAUUAAUUAUAUACUGUUUAAAUAAAUUAUUUUGUCAGUUCUAAAUCUCCUACUUAGCUUAAUUGAAUUACCUUUGUUUCUAAUAUUUUGAGAGGAGAAAUAAAAUUCCUUUUGAUUUUCCUUGUUAUAUAUCUUGCUUAUGUUUACCUAAGUUGCCUUUUUCUAAGGUUAAACAUUAGAAAGUCCCCAACAUUAUGACCUUUUCUUGUAAAGUAAUUCUUUUGGCUGCCUUAUUCUAUACUGUUUCUAGUUCUUUUCCAUCCUUUUUAAAAAGUGACUGCCAAAACUAUAUACAGUAUUCUAGAUGCACAUUAAAUUUGAAUAAGGACUUUAUAAUUUUGGUAGCCUUUCCAAGUAUUCCAAAUAUUUCCAAAUAUUCUUUGGUAUGUCAUUUGCCUUUUUAUAGCUACUGCAGAUUUACUUGGCUGUGUACCAUGACCUGUAUAAAAAUACCCAUCCACCCACAAGAGAAAGAGAAUGACCAAUUCUAAUAUAUAUCAUAAAUAUUUAUUUUUGUGUAUUUAUUAAAUUUAUAUACUGUCCAAUUCCCAAUCACUCUAAAUGGUUCACAAAUAAACAUAUUUAUGAAAUAUGA